ACAGAUUCAUCCUUACCACCACCUGGCACAAGCAGAUGCAGACAAUUGUCAUUUGCUCCACUUCCAGGUGGCCAAAGAUGCUCUGCUGGACAGUCCUCCUCUAGUCCACUUCCCACAAUGGCAUCCUGAAAUGGAAGAUGAUACAUUCAGUGGGGAUGCUAGCGAGAGAUGGUCUGGGGAAUGUGGCAGUGAUGUGGCCUUAAUUUCAGAGUAUGAGCCUGCAGAAAAUCCCCAACACCAUGUCAGACCCAUGGCCAAAACCAGCACAUCUCUUUCUAACUUCAGGCGUUUAUUGAAUUUUAAUUUCACAGUAUCAAUAUAUACAAUGCAAUAUUGGAAUAUUAGUUACACAUUAGUAAUAUCGUAAGCCUUUGUCGCUUACUAUAGCAUAACAGUAAAACAUUAUAGUUCAACACAUUUGAGUCAUAGACACAUAGACAUAGCAUAACACAGUGGGUUGCAACUUAGGUGACCCAGUCCAGCCAUUUAUCCCAUAUUUUGUGGUAUUUUUUGGGGCUACUCCUUUUCCAAUAGAUAAGAUUCUCCAUAGUGGAUAUACGUUUAACUUCUAGAACCCAUUGGGAGGAAUUGGGAGGUGUGGACUGCUUCCAUUUUCUUGUAAUAAGCUUCUUUGUUGUAAAUAGUGCUUCAUUAUUAAAGGUGCUUUGAUACCGUG